AUUGUUCUCACCAUGUGCUUCAUCCAUUGUUCUCACCAUGUGCCUCUGAUACAGGAAAUGGUGGCCACCCAGUAACUCCACAGUAUGUCCCCAGAUGGUUCUUAAAGGGCCAGCAGCAGCACAACACAAAUCCCUUAUGCCCAAAUCAUGUCUUUAAAGGGCAAUACAUCCCAGGGGCCAUAGUCACAUGGCAGGAGGCUGGCAAUCAGGCUUCUCC